UGCUUUGCGAGUGCUGGAAUUAAAGA
rnacentral:piRNA from 1 species